CCUACGGGAGGCAGCAGUGGGGAAUAUUGGGCAAUGGACGCAAGUCUGACCCAGCAACGCCGCGUGAAGGAAGAAGGCUUUCGGGUUGUAAACUUCUUUUGUCAGGGAAGAGUAGAAGACGGUACCUGACGAAUAAGCCACGGCUAACUACGUGCCAGCAGCCGCGGUAAUACGUAGGUGGCAAGCGUUGUCCGGAUUUACUGGGUGUAAAGGGCGUGCAGCCGGGCCGGCAAGUCAGAUGUGAAAUCUGGAGGCUUAACCUCCAAACUGCAUUUGAAACUGUAGGUCUUGAGUACCGGAGAGGUUAUCGGAAUUCCUUGUGUAGCGGUGAAAUGCGUAGAUAUAAGGAAGAACACCAGUGGCGAAGGCGGAUAACUGGACGGCAACUGACGGUGAGGCGCGAAAGCGUGGGGAGCAAACAGGA
rnacentral:rRNA from 1 species